GCGGCCGCGCAGGUGGCGGCGCUGGCGGCCUGGCUGCUCGGCAGGCGGAACUUGUAGGAACGCGGGGCUUCUUGGUGGGGCCGGAGCCGAGACCCAGCCGGAGCGAGCAACAGCCUACAUCUGACCUCAGAAUACCAGCCGCUCCGGCCUUUCUUGUGCUUUUGAUUUAAUUUGGGGAAACUCAUUUUUUCCCAGCUCUGAGCCCCAGGGGAGGCUCCUCUGAGGCUGGGGAGGCCUGGAGGAGGAUGGGUAUGAUUUAACCAGUCAAUACUCAAAGAUACAGGAGAGAGGGAACAAAAGACGCUUUAUGGUGGUUGAGAUCUUCCCAUGUCAACACGCAAAGGUUUUCCUCAUCCUUUUUAAUGGCUGCAUGAUGUUCUGUUGCUUGGAUGAACCAGGAUUUCCUUAUAUGGUCACUUCCUUGGGAACAUUUGCAUUGUUUCCUGUUUUCUGGUUGGUGAAAACCCUGUGUCCUUGGAGAAAGCUGGUUCCCGUUUUCCAGAGGGGGAGCCCAGAGCUUGAAAGGCCGCGGUUGGCACUUCGAGAAGGAAGUGGAGAGUAAAGACAGCGCCUGGAGCGAUCGUAGA
rnacentral:lncRNA from 10 species